rnacentral:rRNA from 1 species
AUUGAACGCUGGCGGCAUGCCUAACACAUGCAAGUCGAACGAGUGGCGGACGGGUGAGUAAUGUCUGGGAAACUGCCUGAUGGAGGGGGAUAACUACUGGAAACGGUAGCUAAUACCGCAUACCAUCGGAUGUGCCCAGCUGGGAUUAGCUAGUAGGUGGGGUAAAGGCUCACCUAGGCGACGAUCCCUAGCUGGUCUGAGAGGAUGACCGGCCAAACUGGAACGGGGAAACGGUCCAGACCCCUAGGGAAGGAAGCAGUGGGGAAUAUUGCACAAGGGGGGCAAGCCUGAUGAAGCAAGGCCGGGGAUAUGAAGAAGGCCUUCGGGUUGUAAAGUACUUUCAGCGGGGAGGCGUUACCCGCAGAGGAAGCACCGGCUAACUACGUGCCAGCAGCCGCGGUAAUUC